CAGUCAGUCACACAGUCAGACAGACAGACAGACAGACAGACAGACAGACAGACAGUCAGACAGACAGACAGACAGACAGACAGGACUGUCUCUUUCUCCCUCUGGUGUAACGUAUCUGUUGCAGGGGUAGUAGAGCUGUGACUGUGUGCUAUCUCUCUGUGGUUGCAGGGGUAGUAGAGCUGUGACUGUGUGCUAUCUCUCUGUGGUUGCAGGGGUAGUACAGCUGUGACUGUGUGCUAUCUUGCUGUUGUUGCAGAGGUAGUACAGCUGUGACUGUGUGCUAUCUCUCUGUUGUUGCAGGGGUAGUACAGCUGUGACUGUGUGCUAUCUCUCUGUUGUUGCAGGGGUAGUACAGCUGUGACUGUGUGCUAUCUCUCUGUUUUUGCAGAGGUAGUACAGCUGUGACUGUGUGCUAUCUCUCUGUUGUUGCAGAGGUAGUACAGCUGUGACUGUGUGCUAUCUCUCUGUUGUUGCAGGGGUAGUACAGCUGUGACUGUGUGCUAUCUCUCUGUGGUUGCAGGGGUAGUACAGCUGUGACUGUGUGCUAUCUCUCUGUUGUUGCAGGGGUAGUACAGCUGUGACUGUGUGCUAUCUCUCUGUGGUUGCAGGGGUAGUAGAGCUGUGACUGUGUGCUAUCUCUCUGUGGUUGCAGGGUAGUACAGCUGUGACUGUGUGCUAUCUCUCUGUGGUUGCAGGGGUAGUACAGCUGUGACUGUGUGCUAUCUCUCUGUGGUUGCAGGGGUAGUACAGCUGUGACUGUGUGCUAUCUCUGUGGUUGCAGGGGUAGUACAGCUGUGACUGUGUGCUAUCUCUGUGGUUGCAGGGGUAGUAGAGCUGUGACUGUGUGCUAUCUCUCUGUGGUUGCAGGGGUAGUAGAGCUGUGACUGUGUGCUAUCUCUCUGUGGUUGCAGGGGUAGUACAGCUGUGACUGUGUGCUAUCUUGCUGUUGUUGCAGAGGUAGUACAGCUGUGACUGUGUGCUAUCUCUCUGUUGUUGCAGGGGUAGUACAGCUGUGACUGUGUGCUAUCUCUCUGUUUUUGCAGAGGUAGUACAGCUGUGACUGUGUGCUAUCUCUCUGUUGUUGCAGAGGUAGUACAGCUGUGACUGUGUGCUAUCUCUCUGUUGUUGCAGGGGUAGUACAGCUGUGACUGUGUGCUAUCUCUCUGUGGUUGCAGGGGUAGUACAGCUGUGACUGUGUGCUAUCUCUCUGUUGUUGCAGGGGUAGUACAGCUGUGACUGUGUGCUAUCUCUCUGUGGUUGCAGGGGUAGUAGAGCUGUGACUGUGUGCUAUCUCUCUGUGGUUGCAGGGGUAGUACAGCUGUGACUGUGUGCUAUCUCUCUGUGGUUGCAGGGGUAGUACAGCUGUGACUGUGUGCUAUCUCUCUGUGGUUGCUGGGGUAGUACAGCUGUGACUGUGUGCUAUCUCUCUGUGGUUGCAGGGGUAGUACAGCUGUGACUGUGUGCCAUCUCUCUGUGGUUGCAGGGGUAGUACAGCUGUGACUGUGUGCUAUCUCUCUGUUGUUGCAGGGGUAGUACAGCUGUGACUGUGUGCUAUCUCUCUGUUGUUGCAGGGGUAGUACAGCUGUGACUGUGUGCUAUCUCUCUGUUGUUGCAGAGGUAGUACAGCUGUGACUGUGUGCUAUCUCUCUGUUGUUGCAGAGGUAGUACAGCUGUGACUGUGUGCUAUCUCUCUGUUGUUGCAGGGGUAGUAGAGCUGUGACUGUGUGCUAUCUCUCUGUGGUUGCAGGGGUAGUACAGCUGUGACUGUGUGCUAUCUCUCUGUGGUUGCAGGGGUAGUACAGCUGUGACUGUGUGCCAUCUCUCUGUGGUUGCAGGGGUAGUACAGCUGUGACUGUGUGCUAUCUCUCUGUUGUUGCAGGGGUAGUAUAGCUGUGACUGUGUGCUAUCUCUCUGUGGUUGCAGGGGUAGUACAGCUGUGACUGUGUGCUAUCUCUGUGGUUGCAGGGGUAGUACAGCUGUGACUGUGUGCUAUCUCUCUGUUGUUGCAGAGGUAGUACAGCUGUGACUGUGUGCUAUCUCUCUGUGGUUGCAGGGGUAGUACAGCUGUGACUGUGUGCUAUCUUGCUGUUGUUGCAGAGGUAGUACAGCUGUGACUGUGUGCUAUCUCUCUGUUGUUGCAGGGGUAGUACAGCUGUGACUGUGUGCUAUCUCUCUGUUGUUGCAGAGGUAGUACAGCUGUGACUGUGUGCUAUCUCUCUGUGGUUGCAGGGGUAGUACAGCUGUGACUGUGUGCUAUCUCUCUGUUGUUGCAGGGGUAGUACAGCUGUGACUGUGUGCUAUCUCUCUGUUCUGUUCACGUGCCAACUAGUUCUCAGUUACUGCAAAGUACUUUGCUAUCAGUACCCACGUAAUGACAGACAGACAGUCAGACAGACAGUCAGACAGACAGUCACACAGUCAGACAGACAGCCAGACAGUCUUUGCUAUCAGUACCCACAUAAUGACAGACAGACAGUCAGACAGACAGACAGACAGUCUUUGCUAUCAGUACCCACGUAAUGACAGACAGACAGUCAGACAGACAGUCACACAGUCAGACAGACAGACAGACAGUCUUUGC